GUUGCAGUUCCUGGAAUAAAGUUGACUGUGUAGCCUAUGCGUAGGCUAGACUUUGGUAUUAACUGCAAAGUCAGCAACUUGAUUCCAGCAAUUGCGGCUC
rnacentral:pre_miRNA from 1 species